AUUGAACGCUAGCGGCAUGCCUAACACAUGCAAGUCGAACGGCAGCACGGGGAGCUUGCUCUCUGGUGGCGAGUGGCGAACGGGUGAGUAACGCGUAGGAAUCUGCCUAGUAGUGGGGGACAACUCGAGGAAACUCGAGCUAAUACCGCAUAAUCUCUACGGAGCAAAGUGGGGGACCUUCGGGCCUCACGCUAUUAGAUGAGCCUGCGUCAGAUUAGAUUGUUGGUGGGGUAAUGGCCUACCAAGUCGACGAUCUGUAGCUGGUCUGAGAGGAUGACCAGCCACACUGGGACUGAGACACGGCCCAGACUCCUACGGGAGGCAGCAGUGGGGAAUUUUCCGCAAUGGACGAAAGUCUGACGGAGCAACGCCGCGUGAACGAUGAAGGCCUUCGGGUUGUAAAGUUCUGUUAUAAGGAAAGAAUAUGUUAAUAAGGAAAUGUAUUAACACUGACGGUACCUUAUCAGAAAGCCACGGCUAACUACGUGCCAGCCGCCGCGGUAA
rnacentral:rRNA from 1 species